rnacentral:rRNA from 1 species
ACGAACGCUGGCGGCGUGCUUAACACAUGCAAGUCGAACGAGGUGCUUGCACCUAGUGGCGAACGGGUGAGUAACACGUGAGCAACCUGCCCUUGGCUCUGGGAUAGCCUCCGGAAACGGGGAUUAAUACCGGACAUGACCUGCUUCUGCAUGGGAGCGGGUGGAAAGUUUUUCGGCCAGGGAGGGGCUCGCGGCCUAUCAGCUUGUUGGAGGGGUAACGGCCCACCAAGGCGACGACGGGUAGCCGGCCUGAGAGGGCGACCGGCCACACUGGGACUGAGACACGGCCCAGACUCCUACGGGAGGCAGCAGUGGGGAAUAUUGCACAAUGGGGGAAACCCUGAUGCAGCGACGCCGCGUGCGGGAUGAAGGCCUUCGGGUUGUAAACCGCUUUCAGCAGGGACGAAGCGAGAGUGACGGUACCUGCAGAAGAAGCGCCGGCAUAACUACGUGCCAGCAGCCGCGGUAAUACGUAGGGCGCAAGCGUUGUCCGGAAUUAUUGGGCGUAAAGAGCUCGUAGGCGGCCUGUCGCGUCUGCUGUGAAAUCCCGGGGCUUAACCCCGGGCCUGCAGUGGAUACGGGCAGGCUGGAGGCAGGCAGGGGAGAACGGAAUUCCCGGUGUAGCGGUGAAAUGCGCAGAUAUCGGGAGGAACACCGGUGGCGAAGGCGGUUCUCUGGGCCUGUACUGACGCUGAGGAGCGAAAGCGUGGGGAGCGAACAGGAUUAGAUACCCUGGUAGUCCACGCCGUAAACGUUGGGCGCUAGGUGUGGGUCCCUUCCACGGGGUCUGUGCCGCAGCUAACGCAUUAAGCGCCCCGCCUGGGGAGUACGGCCGCAAGGCUAAAACUCAAAGAAAUUGACGGGGGCCCGCACAAGCGGCGGAGCAUGUUGCUUAAUUCGACGCAACGCGAAGAACCUUACCAAGGUUUGACAUGGCCGGAAAACUCAUGGAGACAUGGGGUCCUUCGGGGCCGGUCACAGGUGGUGCAUGGCUGUCGUCAGCUCGUGUCGUGAGAUGUUGGGUUAAGUCCCGCAACGAGCGCAACCCUCGUCCAAUGUUGCCAGCGGGUUAUGCCGGGGACUCAUUGGAGACUGCCGGGGUCAACUCGGAGGAAGGUGGGGAUGACGUCAAGUCAUCAUGCCCCUUAUGUCUUGGGCUGCAAACAUGCUACAAUGGCCGGUACAGAGCGCUGCGACAUCGCAAGAUGGAGCGAAUCGCGGAAAGCCGGUCUCAGUUCGGAUCGGGGUCUGCAACUCGGCCCCGUGAAGCCGGAGUCGCUAGUAAUCGCGGAUCAGCAACGCCGCGGUGAAUACGUUCCCGGGCCUUGUACACACCGCCCGUCACGUCACGAAAGUUGGCAACACCCGAAGCCGGCGGCCUAACCCGUAAGGGAGG